AUGUGAAGCGAACGCGGUGAACUGAAACAUCUAAGUAACCGCAGGAAAAGAAAUCAACCGAGAUUCCCAAAGUAGUGGCGAGCGAAAUGGGAUGAGCCUUGUACUCUUUAUUUGUAUUGUUAGCCGAACGCUCUGGAAAGUGCGGCCAUAGCAGGUGAUAGCCCUGUAGGCGAAAACAGUAUGAAAGAACUAGGUGUACGACAAGUAGGGCGGGACACGUGAAAUCCUGUCUGAAGAUGGGGGGACCAUCCUCCAAGGCUAAAUACUCGUGAUCGACCGAUAGUGAACCAGUACCGUGAGGGAAAGGCGAAAAGAACCCCGGGAGGGGAGUGAAAUAGAUCCUGAAACCGCAUGCAUACAAACAGUCGGAGCCUCGUAAGGGGUGACGGCGUACCUUUUGUAUAAUGGGUCAGCGACUUACGUUCAGUAGCAAGCUUAACCGUAUAGGGCAGGCGUAGCGAAAGCGAGUCCGAAUAGGGCGUUCAGUUGCUGGGCGUAGACCCGAAACCAGGUGAUCUAUCCAUGGCCAGGAUGAAGGUGCGGUAACACGUACUGGAGGUCCGAACCCACUAACGUUGAAAAGUUAGGGGAUGAGCUGUGGAUAGGGGUGAAAGGCUAAACAAACCUGGAAAUAGCUGGUUCUCUCCGAAAACUAUUUAGGUAGUGCCUCGUGUCUCACCUUCGGGGGUAGAGCACUGUCAUGGUUGGGGGGUCUAUUGCAGAUUACCCCGCCAUAGCAAACUCCGAAUACCGAAGAGUGCAAUCACGGGAGACAGACAUCGGGUGCUAACGUCCGGUGUCAAGAGGGAAACAACCCAGACCGCCAGCUAAGGUCCCCAAAUAUGGCUAAGUGGGAAACGAAGUGGGAAGGCUAAAACAGUCAGGAGGUUGGCUUAGAAGCAGCCACCCUUUAAAGAAAGCGUAAUAGCUCACUGAUCGAGUCGUCCUGCGCGGAAGAUGUAACGGGGCUAAGCCAUAUACCGAAGCUGCGGAUGCGUGCUUGCACGCAUGGUAGGAGAGCGUUCCGUAAGCCUGCGAAGGUGCCUUGUAAAGGGUGCUGGAGGUAUCGGAAGUGCGAAUGCUGACAUGAGUAGCGAUAAAGGGGGUGAAAGGCCCCCUCGCCGUAAGCCCAAGGUUUCCUACGCAACGUUCAUCGGCGUAGGGUGAGUCGGCCCCUAAGGCGAGGCAGAAAUGCGUAGCUGAUGGGAAGCAGGUCAAUAUUCCUGCACCAUUGUUAGAUGCGAUGGGGGGACGGAUCGCGGAAGGUUGUCCGGGUGUUGGACGUCCCGGUCGCUGCAUUGGAGAAGGCGCUUAGGCAAAUCCGGGCGCAGGAUUCAAGGGUGUGGCGCGAGCGACUUCGGUCGCGAAGCAAUUGGAAGUGGUUCCAAGAAAAGCCUCUAAGCUUCAGUCUAACGAUGACCGUACCGCAAACCGACACAGGUGGGCGAGAUGAGUAUUCUAAGGCGCUUGAGAGAACUCGGGAGAAGGAACUCGGCAAAUUGGUACCGUAACUUCGGGAUAAGGUACGCCCUUGUAGCUUGACUGGCCUGCGCCAG
rnacentral:rRNA from 1 species